GACGUAGGGCGCGAGCGUUGUCCGGAUUUAUUGGGCGUAAAGAGCUCGUAGGCGGUUUGGUAAGUCGGAUGUGAAAUCUCCAGGCUCAACCUGGAGGGGUCAUUCGAUACUGCCAUGACUAGAGUUCGGUAGGGGAGUGUGGAAUUCCUGGUGGAGCGGUGAAAUGCGCAGAGAUCAGGAGGAACACCCGUAGCGAAGGCGGCACGCUGGGCCGAUACUGACGCUGAGGAGCGAAAGCGUGGGGAGCGAACAGG
rnacentral:rRNA from 1 species